CAGAGGGUGAGAUGCUGAGGGGGAGAAACAGACAUUUAGAGGAUGGCCAAAAGAGAAAUUUGCAGAAUAAUAAAAAUGGGUUCUUCAAAGAAUGGAACAACAAGAUAUUUUUUCAAGAUGAUUAAUUAGCAGUUUAAAGACUGCUCAUAGCUUCAGUCUAGAGGUAGAAAGGAUGCUGGAAUAGGAGGCCGGAAUGGGGUGGGAAUAAUUAUUAAUUUUCAAAGUCUUUUCAUAUAAGUUAUUGUAAUGAUAUGAUAUUCCGCAACUAAAGUUUAAUGUUUUCUAAUUUCGCUUGUAAUAAAAUCUCUUGAAUAAUGUUUUAUACAUUUUUUGUAUCCUUUAAAAUCAA